GAGUUUGAUCAUGGCUCAGGACGAACGCUGGCGGCGUGCUUAACACAUGCAAGUCGAACGAUGAUCAGGAGCUUGCUCCUGUGAUUAGUGGCGAACGGGUGAGUAACACGUGAGUAACCUGCCCCUGACUCUGGGAUAAGCGUUGGAAACGACGUCUAAUACUGGAUAUGAUCACUGGUCGCAUGGCCUGGUGGUGGAAAGAUUUUUUGGUUGGGGAUGGACUCGCGGCCUAUCAGCUUGUUGGUGAGGUAAUGGCUCACCAAGGCGACGACGGGUAGCCGGCCUGAGAGGGUGACCGGCCACACUGGGACUGAGACACGGCCCAGACUCCUACGGGAGGCAGCAGUGGGGAAUAUUGCACAAUGGGCGAAAGCCUGAUGCAGCAACGCCGCGUGAGGGAUGACGGCCUUCGGGUUGUAAACCUCUUUUAGUAGGGAAGAAGGGAGCUUCGGUUCUUGACGGUACCUGCAGAAAAAGCACCGGCUAACUACGUGCCAGCAGCCGCGGUAAU
rnacentral:rRNA from 1 species